rnacentral:lncRNA from 1 species
CUAGGCAGAUUGAGAUUUUCUUAGUUGAUCCUGGUCUGGCUGGUGGGAGGCUUCGGCCGUGGCUAGUUACCACCGUUUACGUUUUUUACAGCUUAUAAGUUACUUUAUACUAUCCAAUAAUUAAUAGUUUGCAAGAAAUACUUUCCAUCGUAAUUGAAUUAUAAAUACAAUUUAUUAUUUAUACAUAUUGAAUACAUUGAUAAAAUUGUGAAUUAGUUUAAUAUUUUCAUCAAUAAUAAUAAAUUUUUGGUCUGACUGACUGACAAAUCGAUACUAAGCAAUCAUUUAAUUCCUGAAUAUCGAUUUUGUGACAUUCCUAUUUACUGCAUAUAAAAAUCAGGCAACACAUGAAACGUCAUUUUUGUCUCUGUAGAGAAAAAACACUAUACAUAUGUAUAAAGAAAACAACAUUUUGAUUCAGUUUAACUUUUUCAAAGUCUCGGCGUAGAAUGACGAUAAUGGUUCAUGUACCUACAGAAUGGAUGAACAUUCAAGAUGUAUUGGCAAUGUACGGAGUUGAUGUUGAGCUGCACACAUUCUGUUGAGUGUAACAGACAGUCAUACAUUACAAGUUAAUGUAAAAAAGAUGUAUUGUGACACUGAAUUUAAUAAAUAUAUUUUCUUUCUUUCUUCUUCUGUUUGUGAUAAAUCAAUACUAGUACAAACUUAUAAUAAUCAGUUUGCUUAAAUAUUUCACAACACGUGGAUCAGUUCUUUAUCAGACUGAGCGCUCCACCGCAAUCUAGUGCAGAUAGUGCACUGAUAACACGACACUGCCUCUCAAACUUUGGCCAUUUCACUUUCGCUUUAAACUUAAAGUAGUAUGACUCAAUAAUUUAUUUCAGAAAUAAUAAAAAAAGACGAAUAAAGCAAAUUUUUUGUAAAGUAAUUUUGUAGGAACACCUAACAAAGUUGAUUGAAAAAAUAAACAAUAUUUAAAAUUGUCAGAACUAGUUUCACAAAUCACGUAGACGCAAAAACAAACAAACAGUUUUAAAUUCAAUGUCUCUGAUGUAAUCCACGCAUGACUAAUUCUAUUGUAGUAGCUACGACGGUGGAUGAGUUCAAUUAAUGUGACGUCGAUUAGCGUUUUCCUUACGCGGCAUUGAUAACGUCUCGGACACUUUGUGAAUCACUGGCCUCGCCGUCGCCUCGCUCCCCGCGCGCCGUGCGACCAAAAACAUGCGCAAAAAAUACACGAAAAAUGUACAAAAACACACAAAACCACUGUCCCUUUUGAACAGUAGUGCAAUGGAAGUGUAAACUGAGUGAUUUUAUGAUGUGCGUGUUCUGUGAUUGGAUAGUAAGGUGACGGCGCCAACAUGUGGACACAUAUUUGGAUUGUGACAUUGCUUAUUGCACUGAGUGUGCUGGAGUGGCGCGGCGCGCGCUGCGAGGAGGACGUGGACGAGUGCGCGGAGGGCGGCGUGGACUGCGGGCCCGGCCGCUGCGUCAACACGCCCGGCGCCUACACAUGCGAGUGUCGGAGGGUUACGCGGCAACGGCUGCGCGCU